rnacentral:rRNA from 1 species
GAGCUUGGCGGUGUUUUAGACCUCUCAGGGGAACCUGUCUCAUAAUCGACAAUCCACGUUAAACCUAACCUUUGAUAGCAAUUCAGCCUGUAUACCGUUGUCGUCAGGUAACUUCUUAAAAUAUAGUAGUUAGCUUGAGAAUUUUAUUAAUUAAAACGUCAAAUCAAGGUGCAGCUAAUAAAAAGGUGAAGAUGGGUUACAAUUACAUAUUUGUAAAUACGGAAAAUAUUUGAAAGAAUGUUUUAAAGGAGGACUUGAAAGUAAUUUUGAUUAUAUAAACAAAAUGAAUGAGGCUCUGAAACGUGCACACAUCGCCCGUCGCUCUCGUUGAAAAAUGAGAUAAGUCGUAACAUAGUAGGGGUAAUGGAAAUUGUUCCUAGAU